AGACAGAAGUAGGUUUAUUAUUUUUGUGCCGCUGUUUGGGGCUCCUAAAUUAGUUUAUAGGCCCUUUUUAUAGUGAAUAUGGCAAUUCGGAGUACUUACAAGCCUGUGGUAUUCACUUAAGUGAGCAGCAUCAGUGCUGGAAGCUCACUAUGGUGACGCGGCUUCUGGGGGCGGAUAGCCGUUCGUUACAGAUCCUCCAAUAGCUGGGCAGAAGUGAGCGGCGUCAGGGCCGUAUGCUCACGGGGGUGACGCAGCUUCUGAAUGUUACAUGGAAGGCUGCAUGUAACUCCCUUACUGAGUCUAGGUGGAAGUGAGCAGCAUCAGGGCCUGGGGCUCACAGCGGCAGCGCGGCUCCCAUGGAUGGUCCUGGUAGUCAGUGCGGCGCCGGUCUGCGCAUGUGCGGGGACCAGAGGAGGUAGUGAGCGGCAUCAGUGCCAAGAAAAGCUCACAUGUUUUCAUCACAUGUCAGUUUCAAGUGGGAAGUGAUUGAUCAGCUGGAGUUUCAGGAAGUGAUUGCUCAGCUGGAGUCAGUGGCCUGCAAGCAAGGUAUACUUCAAGGUACAGGACUCUCCAGGAUCGGGAUGGAUCUCGUUGAUACACCGGACACUCGUAUUUAGGACACAAUGUUAUAAUUUCGCUGAACUACACAUGCAGUGGCUUUAUGUUUUAACCUACUUCAAGCAAAUUAAAGGGGCCUUGCAUAAUGGAGCCCCAGGUGAACUGUCACCUAGCUGAGCACAUGACAAGUUGCAGCUGCUUGCACGGAGAGGCAAUGCCUGACCAUGAUUCUUUAUCAAUAAAAUGCUGUUAAGGAUUCUUUCUUCUUGCGGUCACUGUUACAGGAACUUUUAAGUUAAGCUAGAUUUUCCGAUCUGUUUUUGACAGUUGUCUUUUGUCAUAAGGUCACUGCUACAGUAAAUGCACAUUGGUUUUGUUACCUUCAGCAAAAAAGGAAUGUAUUUCUAGAUUUUAAAAAAGUAUAAAAUGUUUGUGACUUGCUGGUAUUUUUUUUUUUACUUUUCUAACAUAUUUACA